rnacentral:rRNA from 1 species
AUGGAUCGGCCCCAGGUGGUCAGCGAGAACUAUGCCAAUCCUAUAACAUGCCUCUUCCAUGUGCUCUUCAAGGCGUCGGCGCUGGCGUUCUACAUCCUCUUCUCGCUCUUCGUGAAGAGCUUCGUCAUCAUCUUUGUCAUCACCGUGCUCCUCGCCGCGCUCGACUUCUGGGUGGUGAAGAAUGUCAGCGGAAGGAUACUCGUCGGGCUGCGGUGGUGGAAUGAGAUUGACGAUGAUGGCAACAGUGUGUGGAAGUUCGAGUGCCUCGAUGGCGAGUCUCUCGCUCGGAUGAACAAAAAGGACUCGUGGCUGUUCUGGUGGACUCUUUACUUGAACGCUGCUGCAUGGAUCAUUCUUGGGAUAUUUUCACUCAUUAGACUUGAAGCUGAUUACCUUCUUGUUGUUGGAGUUUGCUUGACUCUAAGCCUUGCAAACAUCGUGGGGUUCACCAAAUGCAACAAAGAUGCCAAGAAGAACAUCCGAGCUUUUGCUGAAAAUGCUGCUCAAAACGCCAUCACAUCCCGCAUCACAUCAUCCCUGCAGUCAGCAUUCGGUAUCUGA